UACGUAGGGUGCGAGCGUUAUCCGUAAUUAUUAGGCGUAAAGGGUGCGUAGAUGGUAAAAGUAGUUAUAGCUGACUGUAACGGAUAAUCGGGUAUGUCUAUAAAACCUUUUUACUUGAGUUUUAAUGAUGUGUGCGACAUUUAUAAACAAGUGAUAAAAUACGCUGUGGUUUAUAAGUAUCCUCAAAGGCGAAAGCAGCACACACUGAAAAACUGACGUUGAGGCACGAAAGUGUGGGUAUCCAAUAGG
rnacentral:rRNA from 1 species